GAAAGAAAGAACCGGCGGAGAAGAAGAAAAAGGGAAAGAAAAGAGGGAAGAAAAAGAAGAAGAAAAAGGAAGAAGAGAAAGAAAGGAAAGAGGUAGUUCAAGGUUCAUUUUCAUUUUUCCUCUCUUUUUAUUUUCUUCAAGAGGUAGAUAUAUUUUAUGUUAAAUUCUAGGGUUUUAUUUUGGCUCGAAAAUUUUUAGAUUUUUGAGAGGAAUACUACUUGGAGCUCAAGUUAUUAAUUCUUGAAUUUCUAUCUACACUAAGGUAAGGAGAUAUUAAUUUUUUUGGGCAAACCCUAAUUUUUAAAUUUGAUGAUUGAGCAUGGAUUAUUUGUGGAAAUGAUUACAUUAAUGAAAUUAUUCACUUGGAAGAAUGAUUUUGGGGAAUGAUAGAUAUAUUAAUUUGGUUGUAUUAUGAUUUCUCCUUUUUCACUAAAAUGAAAGGGACAAAUAUUGUUAUGAUUGUAAUGAAGUUAAAUUUGGAUGUGGUAUAUGAUUGUGAAGGUAUUAGAAAGUGGAAAUUAGCUUCGAUUGAUUAAAAGAAAUUUAGGAAAAUUUCGCAAGUCUCAGGAAAUUUAGUUUAAUUAUUAUAUCAUUAAAGAUUAAAUGUUUCUUUAUUUUAAUAGUGAUUAAAUUAGUUAUUUGUAACGUAUUACAGGUGGUGAUGAAGAAUUGGAAAAGCUUACCAACCGGCCUAGUCUGUAACCCGUAUUGAGUGAGUGGAUAAAACUUAUUUUUCAGAAAUAAGUUUUCUUUAAAUUUUAAAGUUAUUUAUUUUAUAAAGUUGAUUUUAUAGCAUGAUUUUCAGAAUAAAAUGGAUUUUAUUAUCAAUUGCUUUUAAAAUUAUAUUCAGUUCAGUUAAAUUAUUUUAGUAGCAUGUUAUAUUCUUAUUACAUGUUUCAGUAUAGUUAAAGUUAUUUCUUAAAACCAUCAGAAAGUACUCAAGUGAUUUUACCCCAGUUUGCACUGAUGUGAAUGUGUUUCCACAGUAUAUGACUAGUUAUAGUGAUUUUACCCGCUCUGCACUAUCGUGAAUGUGUUUCCAUAGUGUAUGACCAGAUUAUCAGAGGUCUUUGGAACCCACUCUCGUACACAUAUAGGCUUUGGACCGUGUACUAGAGUAAUUAGCCUUUGGGGCAGCUCUGCAUACGUAUGAUCAGAUUAUCAGAUUAUCAGCUAUCAGAUUUGAAUGGCUUGCCUUGUACAUCGAGAUUACUCUGUACAUGUGUAAGGUUAUUCAUUGGGUACUCUUUUUGUUGUGAUUUUUCAGUAUUUAUUCAAUUCUCAGAUUUCAGAUUAUGGAAUUCAGUUAAUUUAGUUUCCAGAAUAAAGCUUUCUGCUUAUAGUAUUGACCAGUAACAAUAUUUCAUAGAUUUUCAUGAAUAUCAGAUUAUUCGUUAACUUUACAUUUACUUAUCUAGAAUUAUAGAAUUUCAAAAUUACAGAAUUGAAUAGCUUUGCAAUGUCUAUCGGUGUAAACCGAUACAUGAGUAUAGUCAUUUCAGGUACCUUUUUGGCAUGACUUUUCAGUGUUGUACAGCUUAUAAGAUUUCAGAAUACAGAAUUUAGCUUUUCAGUUUAAAGAAUAAAGAUUUAGCUUAAAGUACUGUGAAUGAUAUUUUUAUCAUAAACCAGUUUUUAGAAUGUUAGCAUAAAUGGAAAAAGUAUUUUAUUUACAAAAUUAUCCACUCACUGAGUCAUAGGCUCACAUUUUUUUUACAAUUUCUCUUAUCAAAUAGUAGCUGAGUUGAGCACUACUGGGCCAGCUGAUCUAUCGAGUUGAACUAUAAAUUGUCAAGCAUUGUAUGACUCAUCUUAUCAAUUUAAUAGCUCAUAUUCUGGAAUAGACACCUCUUUUGGUCAGAAAUUAGUUCCAUGUUUUGGGCCUACUAUGUUUUGUAUAUAUUAUACAUUUUGGGUACUGUGGUUUAUAAACUAUUGCAAAGGUCGAAUUGCCAGUGUUGUAUUUGAAUAGUUGAUUUUCUGUGAGCCAGUGUACCCUAUUUUAAACUAUAUGUAUCUGUUUGGGAUACUGGAUUAUAUAUUUCAGGUGGUUUUAGUCUAUAAUUCAGGGGGAACUCUGCCAAAUUUUUUACAAA
rnacentral:lncRNA from 1 species